rnacentral:rRNA from 1 species
AACGAACGCUGGCGGCGCGUUUUAAGCAUGCAAGUCGCACGGUAAGGAGGACUUCGGUUCUCCCUAGAGUGGCGGACGGGUGAGUAACACGUGGACAACCUACCCUUUAGUUGGGGAUAGCCCAUGGAAACAUGGGGUAAUACCGAAUACGACUAAGCUGACACAAGUGAGCUUAAGGAAAGGCGCUAAGGCGCCGCUGAGGGAUGGGUCCGCGGUCCAUUAGCUAGUUGGUGAGGUAACGGCUCACCAAGGCGAUGAUGGAUAGCCGGCCUGAGAGGGCGACCGGCCACAUUGGGACUGAGACACGGCCCAGACUCCUACGGGAGGCAGCAUG